rnacentral:lncRNA from 1 species
ACUGAGAGGUAUGUUGUGGGUUGGUAUGAUUAUAGGAAAAUUUCAAAAAAUCCUCGUGUGAUUUCGUAGUUUCUCACUUCCCUUGUGGUUUAAAAUGUAUCAAUUUGUCUUCCUGUGAUUUCUUUUUUCUCUUUUUUUAUCAAUUUUAUUAUUUUUUUUUUCUUAAAUCAGUGAUAAAGUUAAAAUUAAAAGGGUACUAAAGUGAAUAUUUGAUAAAUUUAGAUGGGUAUCUGAAGUUUUUUAUAUAUAAUUUAAUAAAAUAUUAACGAAAAAGCUAUCCAAAAGAUAAAAAUAAAACCACAGGAGGGCAAUUUGAUACAUUUUAAACUACAGGGGGGCAAAGUGAGAAACUACGAAACCACAUAGGGGCUUUUGAAGUUUUUCCAUGAUUU